rnacentral:rRNA from 1 species
GAUGAACGCUAGCGGUGUGCCUUAAGCAUGCAAGUCGAGCGGCCGAUGCUUUGCAUCGGAAAAACUCGAAGCACGAAUAUCGAGAGCCGAAACAAAUUUAAUCCGUCAGCUGGCGGAUUUGAAAAUUAAGGAUUGUUUCGGAUUUCAGAUUUCGAGUUUCGGAUUUCCGCUGCAGAGCAGCGGUUAGCGGCAGACGGCUGAGUAACACGUAGGUAGCUACCCUUUAGCGGGGAUAGCCCGCCGAAAGGCGGAGUAAUCCCGCAUAAUCCCCGCCUUUGGCGGGGAAAGAGCUUAACUGCUCACUAAAGGAGGCGCCUGCGGCCUAUCAGCUUGUUGGUAGGGUAAUGGCCUACCAAGGCAAAAGACGGGUAGGGGGCGUGGAGAGCGUGGCCCCCCAGAAUGGGACUGAGACACGGCCCAUACACCUACGGGUGGCAGCAACUGGGAAUCGUUGCGCUAGUGGGCGAAAGCCUAGAUGCGAGCGACGCCGCGUGAGCGAAGAAGGCCUUUAC